GCCUUUGCCACCACCACCUUCUUGACUACCCCUUUAAGAGCAAUAACUUAUUUUUCGCAAACCUGUGGGAUCCGGACUAGCAAUGGAUACAGCAUGGUAUGUGAUGGGGUCAAGGUCGCAUCCCUCAACUGCAAGAUAGGCCUAACUCAGAAGAUGAUUAUUUACAAUUGAUGCAAUGGAUGUCUUAUCUGGCAUUGUUUUCAAAUGUAGGUUAAUCAAAGGCCAACUUUUUCCAGGGGUCAUUAUUGACUUCGCUUAUUCAGAUGCAUAAAUUGGAGUUGCAUUUACGAUAGCUCUCCGUAUGAAAACAUAACGUUGCACACACAUGCUUUGCCUGCGAGCAAGCCACACGAAAACGGCAGCUGUUGACGCAUGCAGCAGCCUACUCUCAACAGACGAGACGACGAGUAGGCUACAGAACCGGGCUAGUUUUCAUUCAUUGUAUUUCGAUAGGAAGCAUGUGUAAGUAAGUUAAGGUUUUUCUACUUGAAAAUAUGCCUUAUUUCUGCAGCCCUAUCAUGUCUGUGAACUAUGGUGCGAUGUAAUGAAUGCAAACAUCCAUCGCCAUUUUUGGCACAAGGGCUCCAGGUAAAACCAGCGAGGAGGAGAAAUAGAUUGUGAAUUUCUAAUGUAAGUAUGACUUUGCCUUCCACCUGUUUUACGUGCAGCAUGCAUGGCGUUCAGACGCUCAGUGUAUGAAAGCAGGCGUCUGUUGAUCGUCGCAUGCAUAUAUUAACGGUCAACGUUAGAAGUGUGCCUUCGAUGUCAGUUGGAGGUUAGGCUAUAUAUUGUGUAGCUUAAUCUGCAGCUCAUAAUGCAGCUAAGCAAUUGAAAUAGGUAAGUCUGAGCGACCUUAUGUAUGAAUGAAUAAAAUAUAUACGGUGAACUAUAUGGAUGUUGAACGAAAGAAAGGAUAAUAUUUCUAGAUGAUUUUCAAGUGACAGUAGCCUAGUGCUGUGUUAAUCUACAUGUAGGCUAGGUUGGUAUUUCUGUGCAAUUGAAGCAGUAAAGAGAACAGACAAACAACUAUUCGAAAAAAUAUACCUGGCAAACAAAAGUAUGUUUAUUCGGCAUAGGCCUAAUGCAUUAUUUGCAUUUGAAGUUAAUUUCAUUAUCUGUCCUAUUGCAUGCAGUUAUUUGACAAUUAUUAAACCAUAUUACUGUAUCGUUGUUAUUAUAAUAAUAAUAUGAGUACUGUGCUAUAUUGUAAGAACUAUUAUUAUUAUUAUUAAUAUUAUUAUUAGCUACAACAGACGCCACAUUUUUAUGCACAGGCCUACUGCAUGUAAAACCAAAUGUUGUUCAUGAAAAAAGCAUGUCGAAAUAGAUCGUUUUGAAACCUUUUUGAGAACAUUGACCUAGAAAAGAAAGGAGUUGCAUGAUCAUAAUCAGUUGUUUUACCAGGCAUUUUGAUCUCGGAGCGAGUUCCAUUUUGUGAUUUGUAAAUGGGAAAAUAGAGUGCCUCUUCGGGAAGAUAGACGGGUUAAGACCUUUAACCAAUCUCCCGUGGGACAACGCGUGCAUGUGAUCACAGCCUUGAUUGAACAUCAAGAAAAUGAUUAUUAUUCAUUUAUUAUUCAUGUAUUAUUACUUAUUACAAGUGUAUUAUUACUUUUGUUUUUUUAUUAAUGGACUAUUACGGUAGUAAUUGGGCAUAAGAUGGAAUAAGAAACGUGCAGACUGUUGAAUAUUCACUAAAAAGGCCUACUGCAAUUGCAUAUCCGUUGCGUGAUACUAUAAUUACAUUUUUUAAAAACAUACAUCAGCACAGGACUACAAUUACUUCAACCAUAAUUGAUAACUUAAGCAAAUAUUAAAUAAUCAACCAUUUGUUUCAAUGUGCAAUACAAGUUCAAAUGAAAUGUCAUGUGGUUGACUCGGCGUCUACAUUUCAUAUCCCAAUAGCAAAACAUUUAGUAAUUUCAACUAUUGAUCUAACAUUGUUGUUUGUGGAAUCGAAUCAUAUGUUGCAAAACAGAAUUCUUACAAAGUGGGGUUAAGUAAAAAUCUUACUAUAUAGCCUAACGGACUGCCAUUGAGCCAACAAUCCUCAGGUGAGUAUUCAUUUCAUUUACCCAUGCUACUUUAUUGAGCCAACUCCUGGGUGUGAGUGCGAUAGAAUGACGACUGGGAACAUCAAGUCUUGUCUCAAUCGAUUUAUUGUAUCGAUAACAUUUCCUGUUUAAGUGUGAAAAAAAAGGCAUUUGUUUCUUAUUUUCCCUCAAAUGUUUUCACCAAAAAUGUUUUCACCAGCUCUCCAGAACAAUUUAAACGUGGGUCGAAUCUCUCACAUUGGGCUGGACAAAUUAUUUAAUAUGGUGCAACACCUUUUUUAAGAGCAAUUAAGCCUAACUGUGAUUACGCUUGUAAAGAAAAGUGUUGCUCUUCGGUACCCGUUCAUUUGGGGAAUAGUUUUCUGCGUCAUUUAAACGUCUGCCUUUUACGAGCUCUACGUGGCGGCUGUAUAACCCCGCAUUUUUGAGUAUUUUCUUUCCAGAUUGUUGCGAUUUUCCUGCGGUUUUAACACGGGGACGGAGAGAGGCUGGCGCAGACCCCGGAGGAGAGGUGUGCUGCUUCAAUCCAGGCCGCAGUAGCAAUAUCCGUAUUUUGGUCAUUUACAGGGCAUCAAUCCAAUAUGCUAUGCAAUAUUCAGAGCAGCAAACAUCACUCUUCGAAUUUAUUGAUCUUAAACGAGGGCCUAAAUCAAAAAAGUAUGCUUUCAAACACUAUUAUUUUGUGCAUUUCUAUAUUUUUUAUCUAUUAGGCAACCCAUUCUAUUUAUGCUCAUCUUUCGGCAAGACCACAGAGACAACAUAGUAGGCCUAAGCUUGCACUGAGUAUACACUAAAAGGUUCAUGCACUCUUAGAAAAAAAGGUUUCUUAUAGAACCAAAAAGGGUUAUAUCGCUUGCUUCAUAUAUGAAACCGCUAAAAGUUAUAUUUAGAACCCUUUUUCUAGGGUUUUUGAUCAGAACCCUAGAGGUUCUUCACUGAACUAAAAUGGUUCCAUAUAGAACCCUGCAUGGUGCCAUUUGUGAAUUAUGACUACUACUAUUAAAUAGUAUUUUUUGUUGUUGCUCAGACUAUAAUUUAAUAAACAAUUAAAUAAUGAACAAAAGAAUACCAGCAUAGUUUUCAGAAUUUGUCAUGACAUGCAAAAUUGCCAGGGAGGCAUCUCUUUGUUUGAAUGAAGGCCCACGUCAAUUCUGGCUGACUUCUUCACGAUGCAACUUUGUCCACUAGUUACAGUGAACGACAAAAACGUGUCUUCUGCUCCAUUUUCAACUCCCCCAAACAGCAGACCUCACACAUACAGUUUAGAUGAGCACAGGUUCAAGCUGCAGUGCCCCUGGUUGUAGAGCAUGUUGUGGGAUUAAGGGCCCAACAGUAGGGGAAUAUUUUAAGGAUGUGAACACAGCCCUCCAGUUGUAAGAUCAAUUCCACCCUUUUUUCCCAGCACCCCAUCCGGGAAUCGAACCAACCCAGCUCCAACUCCUGCCACAGGAUCAAACACCUUAGCCGCUGGGUUACCUACUGCCAGGAGGAAGGAAGUGUGGAAUGGAGGAAGUGGUACUCACUAAGCAAGCAGCGAGACGUCCUUUACAGUGGUGCCAUGACCCGGAUCUACAUUGGUGCUCAGCUCAACGCUGGAGUUGCUGUUGAGGAAGUUUGAGGGGUGAAUGUAGCACAUGGGGAUGUGUGAAACUUACGCCACAGCCUGAAGUGUCUCACCUCAUUGGCAAGCUUUUUGAGGGAUCGGCUAAGAUGCUUGAGGAGAGCGGCCACAUGUGUUUGUGAGGCAGAGAUCCCGAGUUCUAGCCUGGUAUGGAAGUGGUACUCGCUAAGCAACAGCGUGGCGUCCUUUACAUAUACACUGAAUAUACAAAACAUUAGGAACAUCUGCUCUUUCCAUGAGACUGAUCAGGUGAAAGAUAUGAUCCCUUAUUGAUGUCACUUGUUAUAUCCACUUCAAUCAAUGUAGAUGAAGGCUAAAUCUUUUUAAGCCAUGAGACGGAGAGUGUAUGUGUGACAUUCAGAGGGUCAAUGGACAAGACAAAAGAUGUAAGUGCCUUUGAACGGGGUAUGGUAGUAGGUGCCAGGCACACCCGUGUGUGUCAAGAACUGCAACGCUGCUGGGUUUUUCACACCCAACAGUUUCCCAAGUGUAUCAAGAAUGGUUCACCACCCAAAGGACAUCCAGCCAACUUGACACAACUGUGGGAAGCAUUGGAGUCAACAUGGGCCAGCAUCCCUGUGGAAUGCUUUUGACACCUUGUAGCGUCCAUGCCCCAAUGAACUGAGGAUGGUCUGAGGGCCAAAAAACAGGGGGAAGCAACUCAAUAUUAGGAAGGUGUCCUUAUUGUUUUGUACAUAGUGUAUAUAUAGCAUAUAUACUGAACAAAAAUAUAAAUGCAUCAUGCAACAAUUUAACAGAUUUUACUGAGUUACAGUUCAUAUAAGGAAAUCAGUCAAUUGAAAUACAUGAAUUAGGCCCUAAUCUAUGGAUUUCACAUGACUGGGAAUACAGAUAUGCAUCUGUUGGUUACAGAUUCCUUGAAAAACUUGGCUUGGAUCAGAAAACCAGUCAGUAUCUGGUGUGACCACCAUUUGCCUCAUGCAGAACGACAUCUCCUUCGCAUAGAGUUGAUCAGGCUGUUGAUUGUGGCCUGUGGAAUGUUGUCCCACUCCUCUUCAAUGGCUGUGCAAGGUUGCUGGAUACUGGUGGGAACUGGAACAUGCUGUCAUACACAUAAACCCAGAGAAUCCCAAACAGGCUCAAUGGGUGACAUGUCUGGUGAGUAUGCAGGCCAUGGAAGAACUGGGACAUUUUCAGUUUUCAGGAAUAGUGCACAGAUCCUUGCUAUAUGGAGCUGAGCAUUAUCAUGCUGUAACAUGAGGUGAUGACGGCGGAUGAAUGGCAUGACAAUGGGCCUCAGUAUCUCAUCAUGGUAAUGCAAUUGUGUUCAUUGUCCGUAGCUUAUGCCUGCCCAUACCAUAACCUCACCGCCACCAUUGGGCACUCUGUUCACAAUGUUGGAGGAGGCUUAUGGUAGAGAAAUUAAUAUUAUUUUCUCUGGCAACAGCUCUGGUGGACAUUCCUGCAGUCAGCAUGCUAAUUGCACGCUCCUUCAAAACUUGAGACAUCUGUGGCAUUGUGUUGUUUGACAAAAAUUGCACAUUUGAGUGGCCUUUUAUUGUCCCCAGCACAAGGUGCAUCUGUGUAAUGAUCAUGCUGUUUAAUCAGCUUCUUGAUAUGCCACACCUGUCAGGUGGAUGGAUUAUCUUGGCAAAGAAGAAAUGCUCACUAACAGGGAUGUAAACAAAUUUGUACAUAACAUUUGAGAGAAAUAAGCUUUUGAAACAUAGGACCAACAUUUAUAUGUUGCGUUUAUAUUUUUGUGUAUGUAUGUAUGUAUGUAUGUAUGUAUGUAUGUAUGUAUGUAUGUAUGUAUGUAUGUAUAUAUAUAUAUAUAUAUAUAUAUAUAUAUAUAUAUAUAUAUAUAUAUAUAUAUAUAUA